rnacentral:rRNA from 1 species
AAAAAGAGUAGGGAAGCUGUUAAGCAAGCCGUCAAGAAAAGCUGCUAUUGUUUCAUUAUGGCCCGUACCGUAAACCGACACAGGUGGAUGGGGAGAGAAUCCUAAGGCCGGCGGAAUAAGUAUUGUUAAGGAACUCGGCAAAAUGACCCCGUAACUUCGGGAGAAGGGGUGCCUGCGAGAGCAGGCCGCAGAGAAGAGGCCCAAGCAACUGUUUAGCAAAAACACAGGUCUAUGCAAAACCGAAAGGUGAGGUAUAUGGGCUGACGCCUGCCCGGUGCUGGAAGGUUAAGGGGAGUGGUCAGGAAACGAAGCCACGAACUUAAGCCCCAGUAAACGGCGGCCGUAACGAUAACGGUCCUAAGGUAGCGAAAUUCCUUGUCGGGUAAGUUCCGACCCGCACGAAAGGCGUAAUGAUUUGGGCGCUGUCUCGACAAUACAUCCGGUGAAAUUGAAGUGCCAGUGAAGAUGCUGGCUACCUGCGCCAGGACGGAAAGACCCCAUGGAGCUUUACUCCAGCUUGAUACUGGGACCCGGUAUUGCAUGUACAGGAUAGGUGGGAGGCUAGGAAAUGUGGACGCCAGUCUGCAUGGAGCCGCUGUUGGGAUACCACCCUUGUGGUGCUGGGUUUCUAACCAGAGGCCGUGAACCGGUCUGGGGACAAUGUCAGGUGGGGAGUUUGACUGGGGCGGUCGCCUCCGAAAGGGUAUCGGAGGCGCCCAAAGGUUCCCUCAGAAUGGUUGGAAACCAUUCGAAGAGUGCAAAGGCAGAAGGGAGCUUGACUGCGACACCGACGGGUGGAGCAGGUACGAAAGUAGGGCUUAGUGAUCCGGUGGAAUUUAAGUGGGAAUGCCAUCGCUCAACGAAUAAAAGCUACCCUGGGGAUAACAGGCUGAUCACUCCCAAGAGUUCACAUCGACGGAGUGGUUUGGCACCUCGAUGUCGGCUCAUCGCAUCCUGGGGCUGAAGUCGGUCCCAAGGGUUGGGCUGUUCGCCCAUUAAAGCGGUACGCGAGCUGGGUUCAGAACGUCGUGAGACAGUUCGGUCCCUAUCCGGCGUGGGCGUAGGAUAUCUGAGAGGAGCUGUCCUUAGUACGAGAGGACCGGGAUGGACUGACCUCUGGUGUACCGGUUGGCGAUCAACGCCACGGCCGGGUAGCCAUGUCGGGACGGGAUAAACGCUGAAGGCAUCUAAGCGUGAAGCCCCCCUCAAGAUGGGAUAUCCCAUCGUAAGAGUAAGACCCCUUGAAGACGACGAGGUUGAUAGGGCAGGGGUGGAAGUGCCGUAAGGCAUGGAGCUGACUGCUACUAAUCGGUCGAGGGCUUGACCAA